AGAGUUUGAUCAUGGCUCAGGAUGAACGCUGGCGGCGUGCUUAACACAUGCAAGUCGAACGGGGUUAUCAUUUUUGAAGCGAUUAGCUUGCUAAGAGUGGAAAUGUUGAUAACCUAGUGGCGGACGGGUGAGUAACGCGUGGGUAACCUGCCUUACACAGGGGGAUAACACUUAGAAAUAGGUGCUAAUACCGCAUAAGCGCACAGAGCUGCAUGGCUCAGUGUGAAAAACUGAGGUGGUGUAAGAUGGACCCGCGUCUGAUUAGCUUGUUGGCGGGGUAACGGCCCACCAAGGCGACGAUCAGUAGCCGGCCUGAGAGGGUGGACGGCCACAUUGGGACUGAGACACGGCCCAAACUCCUACGGGAGGCAGCAGUGGGGGAUAUUGGACAAUGGGGGGAACCCUGAUCCAGCGACGCCGCGUGAGUGAAGAAGUAUUUCGGUAUGUAAAGCUCUAUCAGCAGGGAAGAAAGAAAUGACGGUACCUGAGUAAGAAGCCCCGGCUAACUACGUGCCAGCAGCCGCGGUAAUACGUAGGGGGCAAGCGUUAUCCGGAAUUACUGGGUGUAAAGGGAGCGUAGACGGUAAAGCAAGUCUGGAGUGAAAGGCUGGGGCCCAACCCCGGGACUGCUCUGGAAACUGUUAAACUGGAGUGCAGGAGAGGCAGGCGGAAUUCCUAGUGUAGCGGUGAAAUGCGUAGAUAUUAGGAGGAACACCAGUGGCGAAGGCGGCCUGCUGGACUGUAACUGACGUUGAGGCUCGAA
rnacentral:rRNA from 1 species